CCAAAAAACCCUCAUUGAAAUAAGUUUUCAAGUCAUAGAGUUUCAUUGACUUUCAUUUUCAGUUGUAACAACACAUUUUUAAGCAAGGACUGGUUUGUAUGAUUGAGUGAUAGAAUAUAUAAAAAGCUUGAGGUACACUUGUUUAAGAAAAUACAUCAAUUAACUCAACCUUAAACUAAUGCUUAAAUAUCAUUUCCUAAUAUGGUGUGCUUACAUUUUUGUUUCACACUUAAAAUCCUCGUUAAACAUGUUUUCAAGUCAUAGGGAUUUAAG
rnacentral:lncRNA from 1 species